UCACCCCGAGAAAGGCUUGGGGCUAC
rnacentral:piRNA from 1 species